CAUGCACUUGCCAUUGCUUUUCUGAUGAUAAAGCAUCAUCUUCAAACUUCUUUGGAGCAGCAGGAGACUCAUCAUCCACAGCCACAGAAGAGACAGACACUGGUACAGACUGAAAGAAUAUGUAAAGGGAAGAGAAACUUCCCAAAGCAGGAACGGAACCCAGUGGCAGAGAAAAAUAAUUAAUCAACGUCCAAGGCAUCACAACAUGCAAGGUUUGAAGCAGAGAUCAAAGUCAGGAGUAUUCGAAGUCAGGGAAGGCAGCAAAGAAGCAACGUCAAAA